CACGUAGGGUGCGAGCGUUGUCCGGAAUUAUUGGGCGUAAAGAGCGUGUAGGCGGUUCGGUAGGUCCGUUGUGAAAACUCGAGGCUCAACCUCGAGACGCCGAUGGAAACCCUCGAACUAGAGUCCGGAAGAGGAGAGUGGAAUUCCUGGUGUAGCGGUGAAAUGCGCAGAUAUCAGGAAGAACACCCGUGGCUAAGGCGGCUCUCUAGUACGGUACUGACGCUGAGACGCGAAAGCGUGGGGAGCGAACAGG
rnacentral:rRNA from 1 species